GAUGAACGCUGGCGGCGUGCCUAAUACAUGCAAGUCGAGCGAACGGACGAGAAGCUUUCUUCUCUGAUGUUAGCGGCGGACGGGUGAGUAACACGUGGAUAACCUACCUAUAAGACUGGGAUAACUUCGGGAAACUGGAGCUAAUACCGGAUAAUAUUUUGAACCGCAUGGUUCAAAAGUGAAAGACGGUCUUGCUGUCACUUAUAGAUGGAUCCGCGCUGCAUUAGCUAGUUGGUAAGGUAACGGCUUACCAAGGCAACGAUGCAUAGCCGACCUGAGAGGGUGAUCGGCCACACUGGAACUGAGACACGGUCCAGACUCCUACGGGAGGCAGCAGUAGGGAAUAUUCCGCAAUGGGCGAAAGCCUGACGGAGCAACGCCGCGUGAGUGAUGAAGGUCUUCGGAUCGUAAAACUCUGUUAUUAGGGAAGAACAUAUGUGUAAGUAACUGUGCACAUCUUGACGGUACCUAAUCAGAAAGCCACGGCUAACUACGUG
rnacentral:rRNA from 1 species